UGGUGGUUCAGUGGUAGAAUUCUUGCCUUUCAUGUGGGGGACCUGGGUUCUAUUCCCAGCUA
rnacentral:tRNA from 1 species